rnacentral:rRNA from 1 species
UAAGGAAUAUUGCGCAAUGGGGGAAACCCUGACGCAGCAACGCCGCGUGAGUGAAGAAGGCCUUCGGGUCGUAAAGCUCUGUCAGGAGGAACGAACACCCGGUGGGAACAAUACCUCAUCGGUUUGACGGUACCUCCAGAGGAAGCACCGGCUAACUCCGUGCCAGCAGCCGCGGUAAUACGGAGGGUGCUAGCGUUGUUCGGAAUUACUGGGCGUAAAGCGCGUGUAGGCGGAUCCAGAAGUAGGGUGUGAAAGCCCUGGGCUUAACCCAGGAAGUGCGCCCGAAACCAUGUGUCUUGAGGUCCUGAGGGGAUCGGGGAAUUCCCAGUGUAGAGGUGAAAUUCGUAGAUAUUGGGAGGAACACCGGUGGCGAAGGCGCCGAUCUGGACGGGUUCUGACGCUGAGACGCGAAAGCGUGGGUAGCAAACA